rnacentral:rRNA from 1 species
CAGCAGCCACGGUAAUACGUAGGGUGCAAGCGUUAAUCGGAAUUACUGGGCGUAAAGCGUGCGCAGGCGGUUAUAUAAGACAGAUGUGAAAUCCCCGGGCUCAACCUGGGAACUGCAUUUGUGACUGUAUAGCUAGAGUACGGCAGAGGGGGAUGGAAUUCCGCGUGUAGCAGUGAAAUGCGUAGAUAUGCGGAGGAACACCGAUGGCGAAGGCAAUCCCCUGGGCCUGUACUGACGCUCAUGCACGAAAGCGUGGGGAGCAAACAGGAUUAGAUACCCGUGUAGUCCCUGUCUCUUAUAC